GCUAACCAGGGGGGUGGGGCAACCAGAGUUGGGCAGAAGUACCCCCUCUAUUGCCUUUUUCCCCAUUUUAGACCCUUGCUCAUUCUCUCUCCCUUGGCUCCCCUGAGGGGAGGGGGCACAUUUGGAGAAAGAAAAGCUGGAAGGAAGGAAGGAAGAGAAAGAGGAUGAAGGACAGAGAGGAGAAGGGUACCCGUGGAGCACUCUGGCUGUCCACCUAUCAUCUGUCACCCUCACCAUGUGACUAGUUCAUCUCUUCCCAUCAUACAGUUCCAUGAUGACAUCUUUUAGUUUCAUUAUUCUUCAGUUCCUCACUGGUACCCCAACAUCAAGACUUCUGGAAAAGAAAAGCUGGAAGUGAUUCCAUGUGGGUAAAGAGUACAGGAGAACCAAAUGUGCACAACAGAUCUCUGGAUGCAUUUCUCUCUCCAUACUCACUUCUUCUGGCUUUCAUGUAGGGGCUGUGGCAGGAUGGUAACAAUUGAAACUGAUGGGAUAUGGACAGAUUAACAAAAGCUGGCCAGUGCCUUGGUGAGGUUUGAACUGUUGGGAUUGCCUCAGUGUUAUGCUUUUUCUGGAAGCCUGGUAAAGGGCAAAACCUCGUCUCAUUCCCAGGUGAACUGCUUGCUAUUGGCCCUACCUUCUUUUCUGCUCGAUUUGGCAGAGGAGGAGACAGAGGGAGAGAUUGGGAUCUCUUCUGUCCCUCUAGUUAAAAGUCUCUGCUAGUCAAAAGUGGUCAUUGCUUACAUUGUUUGCUUCCCAGUGGCACCCCUUUACUUAUGUCCACAUAUCUGAUAAAAGCAAAAACCUGUCCGCCACCUACAUCCUUGUUUGUGUGAUUAAUGCUACCUGGGGAUAUUAAUUUGGAAAGAAGUCUCUGAUUUUUUAAAUGAGAUAAGAGACAGAUGAGUGGACAUGGGGACCCUGUUUCAGUUUCCCAUCAUUAAGAGAGAGAUACCAUAAUUAUUCUCCUAGGCUACUCCUACAAGUGCUAAAGCCAUAGGUACUGAAGACCUAGAAAGGAGAGUUCUUGUCAUCAAAGCCCUUGGCAUAAUCAAAUAAUUCAACAUCAGAAACUGAUAAUCUAUCAGUGGAAAUGACAUUAGAGAUGUUGUAUAACUAUCUGUUUUGUUUCUUUACCCUAAGAACUGUGGGACUUUCUAUAUGACUUACAGCUAAGACCUUCUGUAUGUCUUA